rnacentral:lncRNA from 1 species
UUGUUUAGCUCUUGUAUACGAGUUUUUGUGUAUCUAAUAAACUAAGACCAGUUAAAACCAAGUUUAUGAAUAAUGUACUUACUUUAUAAUAGUCCUAAAAUUAACAUAAAAUCAUAACUAUAAAUUGGAAUUCUGAUUUGUUAAAUUUUAGGAAUGCCUGUCAAUUGUGAAUAUUAAAUUUGAUCAUCUGUUUUACAAGAAUGAGUAAAUUUAGAAUGUAGUUUAGCUUUUAAUGCUUACUCGUGAAUUAACUUUGAUAUGUUUCAGUCUUAGAUCCUCUUCCCCAGAACCCAUUGAAAGAAACGUAUGGCAUUCAUACUAAUAAUAAGUCAAAUUUGCUAAAACGUUUCUAACAUUAGAGUUUAUUAAGAUAACAGCACCAUAUGAAAAACAGACAAAAUAUUUUUCAUUUUAUGUGAUGUUGCUCUCAAUUCAUUAUACUUUGUAGAUGAAAAAUGUUGAGUACCAUGCCAAGCAUUUCAAAUUUUUGAAGCUUUUUUUGCUUUAAUUUCCUGCAACAUUACAUUAAUUUUUUUUCUAGGGAGAAAUGAAUAUCUGCACACUUAAAUACAGCUCUACUUUUUUAAAUUUUCUACCUGGUGUCUAGAAGAAUGUGUUAAGAAUUUCAGAUCUAAGAUUGUACUUAUUUCAUAUUUCAUUUAUAUUCAUCUUUCUUAAUAUUGAAGUAAUAUAAUAUGUUGAGGAUUUUGUUUUCUUUCAGAAAAGUAUGAAAACACUUUUCUGAAAAUAGACCUGAUAUGGUCUGGUGGUUAGGGUUCUCAACUUGUAAUCUGUCAGUCUUGGAUUUGAAUCCCUGCGAAAUUGCUUGUCUUUUCAGCUGUGAGGGUGUUAUAAUGUGAUGGUCAAUCACACUAUUCGUUAGUAAAAGAGUAGCCCAAGAGUUGGUGAUGGGUGGUGUUGACUAGCUGCCUUCCCUCUUGUCUGUCACUGGUAAAAUAAGGAUGGCUAGUGCAGAUAGCUCUUGUGUAGAGUUGCGCGGAAUUCAAACCAAACUUGUCAGAAAAUAGAACAAUACGUUUGCUGUCGGGAUUGUUAUUUUAUUGUAAAAUAUAUCUAUCCACAUUUGUUUUUUUUUAAUCAACAUUGUAAACUGUGUACUGAAUGGGUUACAGUAGCAGAGAUUGGACUUUGCAUACACAUGCAGAAAAAAUUACCUUCUAUUUUAAAAAUAAAAGCUGCAGACUAUACAUUUUGUAAUUUGCUGGGAGGACUAAUUCAUUUCUUUUACUGCUAGAUUGUACAUAUUGUUAGUAUUUUUGAAUAUAAUUUUUGCUUUUACCAUUAAUUAAUGUCUUGUAACUUCCAACUCGCAAAAAGUCAUUUAAACUUUAAAGUUUGGGAGAUAAUGAACUUCAAUUAUCCAAUAAAAUUUCAGUUUUAGGAUUUCACCAUGUAUAUGAUUUAGCUUAUUUUUUUCCAAGCUUUUUUUAUAUUUUAAGAUAUAGGUAUACCGUUGCAAAACAAAGCAAUUUGGUUGGAGGAACUCACUGAAAAACUGGGGAAAAGUACAAGCACUCCUGUAGAAUCAUACAAGCUUCAAGAUCUAGAGAACAAGAUUAGUCAGUUGCAACAGGAUUUGGCCAAGGAACAAGGUCAAAAGGCCACCCUAGAGGAAAAGCUGAAGAAGCUUCAAGAAGAAAACUUAAGGUUACAAGAAGAAUCUCUAUCUACAUCAGUUCAACUUCGACGUUUUACUGAAUGGUUCUUUAAUAAUAUUGAGUAGAUAAUCCAUAGCGUUGACUUUGAAGGAUUCACACAGUAUUGUUAAAAUUCUGUAAUAUGAUUGUUGUGAGUCCAAACUUCAAAGUCAGACAUGAUUGUUCUACAUAUACAGGCAGAAUGAUAAAUUCUAACAUCUGUUCAGGUGUCACUGUUCAAGUAUCAGAACAAGAUUAACUUUUCAUUAGUUUGCAAUUGAUACUGUACACUCUAAGACUUUCAUUAUUAUUUGCUGUAUUUUCUUCAACUCUUUCUCAAAGAAUGACAAUUAAGAAAAAUUACAUCAUAGCUUCAGCCAAUAAUAGACCAAGUGAAAUUAGUAUGUGAAUAAAGAGUAUAGUUAUUCCACAAUAUGUAGAAGGAAUGUUUAAAGAGAAAAAUUAUAGUUAGCAAAUUGGAAGAUAAUUUGUUGUUAAAUAGACUGUCUAUUAAUAAAUAUUAAACCUAUUAGUAGAUGGAAAAGAGAAUGUAUCAUACAUAUUUUGAAUAGCAUGUUUGUCAAGAUGUAAACUUAGGCUGGUGGUACUAUCUAGAAUUUUAAUUUAACAUUCAGAUAGGUUUAGUAUGAUGUACAAAACUACUCGAGUCUACCAUGUCUUCACCAAGUGUCCUUAUUAAUGCUCUUCUACCAAAGAAGUUAUUCCAGAGUUUUGUUAUAAAGUACUGUAGAAAGAGACAUGUAAUAUUAAAGUGUGGGAUCAUGAUUUAGAUUAACAUGGAUAUUGGUCACUAUAGGGUAUUAUGAAAAUGCUGUAUCGUGUAACAGUGUCUAACCAGGGGCCAGCAAUAUGCCUUCUUACAAAAUAAAACUUUUUUUUUGUAAAGUAUAUUUAAAUUUUUAUAAUCAUAUUUUGAUUUGAUCAUAUUUACUUGUCAUGAAUCAGCACUUAUUUUUUAUCACUAGUCAGGAUACAUUGUAUUGAUUGAUCUUUAUGUAUAUAACUUUAUGUACAUAAAAUUCCAAACUUUAAUA